rnacentral:snRNA from 1 species
UUGCUUCAGUAGCAUAUAUAUACUAAAAUUGGAAUGAUACAGAGAAGAUCAGAAUGGCCCCUGCACAAGUAUGACAUGCAAAUUCGUGAAGCAUAUCAUAUUUUU